GACGAACGCUGGCGGCGUGCCUAAUACAUGCAAGUCGAACGGUCUUUUCUAUGGAAGCUUGCUUCCACUGAGAAGAUAGUGGCGAACGGGUGAGUAACACGUGGGUAACCUGCCCAUAAGAGGGGGAUAACAUCCGGAAACGGGUGCUAAUACCGCAUAGUUUGCUUGAUCGCAUGAUCGGGAAAGGAAAGACGGCCUUUGUGCUGUCCCUUAUGGAUGGACCCGCGGCGUAUUAGUUAGUUGGUGAGGUAACGGCUCACCAAGACGAUGAUACGUAGCCGACCUGAGAGGGUGAUCGGCCACAUUGGGACUGAGACACGGCCCAAACUCCUACGGGAGGCAGCAGUAGGGAAUCUUCCGCAAUGGACGAAAGUCUGACGGAGCAACGCCGCGUGAGUGAAGAAGGUUUUCGGAUCGUAAAACUCUGUUGUCAGAGAAGAACAAGUUGGAGAGUAACUGCUCCAGCCUUGACGGUAUCUGACCAGAAAGCCACGGCUAACUACGUGCCAGCCGCCGCAGUAACAC
rnacentral:rRNA from 1 species